AUGCGUAUCUCUUCUGUCUGGACUCCGUUUGGAUUAUUCUUGGACUCUUUGGACUCUGUUCAUCAUCUUGGACCUCAUUUUGGUCUUAUUAUGGAUCGAAUCUUGAGAUAUUUUCUUCAACAGAUUUUUCAUGGAGAAUUUUUUAGAUAACCAACCCUUAACCAAAGUCAAUAUGGAAACAUUAUUCUCAAUCUAGAGAAUGUCAUCC
rnacentral:lncRNA from 1 species